rnacentral:rRNA from 1 species
CCUACGGGAGGCAGCAGUAGGGAAUCUUCCGCAAUGGACGAAAGUCUGACGGAGCAACGCCGCGUGAACGAUGAAGGCCUUCGGGUCGUAAAGUUCUGUUGUCAGGGAAGAACAAGUACCGGAGUAACUGCCGGUACCUUGACGGUACCUGACCAGAAAGCCACGGCUAACUACGUGCCAGCAGCCGCGGUAAUACGUAGGUGGCAAGCGUUGUUCGGAAUUAUUGGGCGUAAAGCGCGCGCAGGCGGUUCCUUAAGUCUGAUGUGAAAGCCCCCGGCUCAACCGGGGAGGGUCAUUGGAAACUGGGGAACUUGAGUGCAGAAGAGGAGAGCGGAAUUCCACGUGUAGCGGUGAAAUGCGUAGAGAUGUGGAGGAACACCAGUGGCGAAGGCGGCUCUCUGGUCUGUAACUGACGCUGAGGCGCGAAAGCGUGGGGAGCAAACAGGAUUAGAUACCCUGGUAGUCCACGCUGUAAACGAUGAGUGCUAAGUGUUAGAGGGUUUCCGCCCUUUAGUGCUGAAGUUAACGCAUUAAGCACUCCGCCUGGGGAGUACGGUCGCAAGACUGAAACUCAAAGGAAUUGACGG